rnacentral:tRNA from 1 species
UUUUUUUUUUUUUUUUUUUUUUUUGGCCAUGCCGGUGGCAUGUGGAAAUUCCUGGCCAGGAAUUGAAUCUGCACCACAACAGUAACUCAAGCCACAGCAGUGAUAAUGCUGGAUCCUCAACCAGUUGAGCCACCAGGGAACUUCUCUAUAUUUUUUGACUUACAUGUUUACUUUCCUUCUUUAAGCUGUUAAUGAGGUAAAUUACAUGAAUAGAUUUUCUAAGUUAAACUAUUCUUACAUUACUAAUACAAAUCUUGCUUUUGCUGUGAUUAUACAUGUGUGUAUAUAUAUAUAUAUAUAUGAUUGUGUAUAAUAUAUUUAUAUUUAUAUAAUAUAGCUUUUAAUAUUGUAUUUAUGACAUUUGUAUUUAUAUGCAUAAGUGAGAUUGACCUAUAAUUUCCCUCCAAAGUCCUGUUUAGUUUUGCCAUCAAGGAUAUAUUAGAAGCUCAAUGAGAAGCUAUUAUAUACAUACAUACUAAAAUGGCUAAUAUCAAAAAGAGAUAAUACUAAGUGUUGACAGAGUUGGAGCAACUGGAACUCUAAUGCAUUGCUGGUGGGAAUGGUACCAUGACUGCAGCAGUUCUUAUAAAGUGAAACAUGUCCUUGCCACACAACCCAGAAAUUCCACUCCUCGGUGAGACUACAAGAGAAAUGAAAACUAUGGGCACAAAAAGACUUAUAUUUGAAUAUUCAUAGAAGAUUUAUUCAUAAUAGCCCCAAACUAGAACCAAUUCGCUGUCCAUAACUGAUGAAUGGAUAAACAACCCAUGGUAUAUCCAUACAACAGGAUUCUACUCAGCAAUAAAAAGGAGUAAACUACUGAUACAUAUGAUAUGGAUACAUCUCAAAAUGCAUUAUGCUAAGCAAAAAAGUCCAGACAUAAAAAAAGGCGGAUUGUAUGAUUCACUUUACAUGAAAUGAAAUUUUAGAAAAGGCAAACCUACAGGAAUAGAAAGCAAAUUAGUGGUGAUGGCUCCUUGGUUAUUUCACUGACAAUCCAUUUGUUGUCUGUGCUAACUUGCCUCAAGACAAACCAUGUCCUUGAGUGGUUUGUGGUUUUUAUUGUGAGCUCAUCUUUGGCUGGACUUUUUUUGCUGUGGGAUUCCUAUGUGCUUUGGGCCCUGGACAAGCCCUGGAAAGCAGUUUUGAAUUUGAUUCAGCUGGGUAAUCUGAGGGGUUCUAUCAGUUCAGGGCCAAUUUUUACAUUAAAUUAAAUUAAUUUAUUUAUUUUUGUCUUUUUGUCUUUUCUGGGGCCGCUCCCCCAGCAUAUGGAGAUUCCCAGGCUAGGGGUCCAAUCGGAGCUGGUUGGAUUGUGGUUGGAUACACCACAGCCACAGCGAUGCAGGAUCUGAGCCAUGUCUGCGACCUACACCACAGCUCAUGGCAAUGCCGCAUCCUUAACCCACUGAGAGAGGCCAGGGAUUGAACUUGUAACCUCAUGGUUACUAGUCAGAUUUGUUUCCGCUGUGGGAAACAAAUGGGAACUCCACAAUGGGAACUCCACAUUUUUAGAUUAAAUUUUAGUUCAGGAUUUCUCCCCUUUGGGGGUGUUGUAAAUUUAGACUUUGUACCUAGGGGUAGCUCAGUUUUUGCCCUUAGGUUUCUUGAAGGAAACAUUUUCCUCCCUACCUGGAACAUCUGGACAGAGUUGAUGUCCUGGUCUGUCCUGGCAGUUUUCUUGGGCUGGUGGUUAGCAGCUGGUUGAGUGCUCCCAGGGGCAACUUCUGGCUUUGUCAGGGCCCUGGUAGGCAUCAAGAUUCUAGACUUGAGCUACCAUGACCAUAUCUGGUCCUCCCUGGUGUCAGCUGACAUUCUCAAGGCUCUGAGAUUGAGUCCCCUUUUUUGGGGGUGGGGAGUCAGCAUUGAACCCACUGCAUCUCAACUGAAUCAAUGAAUGAGUGUGACACAUUCACACUUCUUUUUUUUUUUUUUUUUGGUUUUUUUAGGGCUGCACCCACAGCUUAUGGAAGUUCCCAGGCAAGGGGUCAAACCUCAAACAAGAGCUGCGGCCACCAACCUACACACACAGAGCCACAGCAAUGCCAGUUCUGAACCGCAUCUGUGAUCUAUACCACAGCAACACCAAUCCUUAACCCACCGAUGAGUUAAGGAUCCGGUGUUGCUGUGAGCUGUGGUGUAGGUUACAGACGCAGCUCGGAUCCUUUGUUGCUGUGGCUCUGGGAUUGGCCAGCAGCUGUAGUUCUGAUUGGACCCCUAGCCUGGGAACCUACAUAUGCAGCGGGUGUGGCUCUAAAAAGCAAAAAAAUAAAAAAUAAAAAAUAACAAGAGAUGACCUAUAUAUGAAGACAAAAUAUAGUUUAAAGCAGAGCAGCUUCCUGGCAAAGGCAGGCUGACAGUGAGCCCCCCCCCCUCCCUGAGACGGCCUCCCUCCUUCUUCCUGGGGCAAAAUCCAGCCUGCCCCAGGCUUCUGCAAUGUUCUAUUUUUGUUUUCAUUAUUUAACUGUGUCCCAUAUACACGGCUAAGUGGAGUGCUCAGUUCCACAGCUUAAUGGACAGCUGACCUCUGUCUGAGAACGCCCAAGCCGUGUGGAGCUCCACAGGCUGUCAACAGGGUGCUGGGCUCCUUCCCGAGGUCAAUUUCAGUCCAAAUUGACAUGACAUCGGCAUGGCCUUGUGUCUUCUGGGGUUCAGUGUCUUCAGGGAGACCAGUGAUGGGUCUGGGCUGUCCAGAGGAGACCCAGGAGGGGGUGAAGCAAGCGGCAGGCACACACCAGGAAGGGAGUGCUGGGGACAGAACGCGUAGCCCUGUGGGCGGUGUCCCCUUGCAGCUUGCUCUCAGCAGCUGAGUGGCUUGUGGGUUUGGAGGCGGGCUGACCGUCAACUAUUAUUGCUCUGUCCCUGGCUUGCUUAUGAUUGAUUCACUGAACUCGGCUCCUGGCUUGACUGGCUGGGAGCUGUACUGACACCCACCUUUUGGAGAACUAAGGGGUUUUAAUUCUUUGUUCUCAUCUCCUUUCUUAAUUAAAUAAUUGCUAGACCUUCCCAGUGAUCUCAACUGUAUCUUCUGACCAUCCAGCCCCCACUGGUUACACACUCAGGAGGCCAGAAAACAAUGGGGUGAGCCAUCAGGCAAUAGGGAGAAGCCACAUGGUACAGGAGUGUUUGUUGAUUGACUGACCAACUGCAUUGAGCUUGACCUUCAGCAUUAAAGGUCUUUUACCAAAUGCUUUCAUACGGGUUUGUGACCUCAUUGGCUCCCUCCAUCCAAGCCUGGGCAUGAUCCAUUCUGCAAGUGAGAAAACAGGCUGAGAGAGGUGUCCUGCUCAGGGAGGCUGGGGCACGGCAUGGCCUUGUGUCUUCUGGGGUUCAGACCUCUGUCUGUGUUCACUCCAUUCUCACCAUGAAGAGGCAGGGUGCUUUCUCUAGGCAGACCCCAGAACAGAGCCCUGGACAUCCCAGGCCAGGGGACUCAGGGUCAGGGGGUCCCUGAGCUGAUCCAGGCUGGGUCGGCUCCUCCUUGGGGUGGGGACAGUCAAGGCAGGAGGCCUGACUGCCUCCUGGCUCCUCCCAAGUGCAUGGUGGGCCCCUCCCUUGGCUGACUUCAUCCCCCUCCGCAGCCCUGCCCGUGCCCAGCGCUGUGUCCCCUGGGUCCCUCAGAUGACAAGUGUUCCUCAUCCUUCCCACAUCCAUCAGCGGGGAGACAGACGUUCCAAUCCGGAGGGAGGAGAGAGGGAGCGGAGGAAAUCAAUAAUGAAGAAUGAUGUCUCUCUACUGUGCCUCCCGUGCUUUAUUUCCCUCUGCAGAGGCAGGACCGGGAAAAAAAAAUAAAUAAAACGUUGGCUAUGGUUUUGAUAUGAAUUGAUCUUGACAUUGGAUGAACCCAGUGGUGCCCCCGUAAUGGCCAGCCGUCGCCUGCUGGCACUUGGGUUGACAAUGGUUCUCAAUCCAUGCUCCCGGGUCGCCCAUUCAUAUUCCCCGGGUGUCCUGGCUCCUCUCUGGCCACAGCACUGGGCCCGCUCAGUGGGGGCUGAAUGCAGGCUACCAGCUGGGUGGCUGGCGAGGGGGAGGAUCAGAAAAAGGGAAGCAGGGUCCCUAUUGCAGCUCUGUGGCCAUCUUUCCUGCAGACAGAAAAAUGCCGACCUGCCUCAGGCUUAAAUGUCUUCAAAGCUGAGCUGAAAUCCAAGUGGCGCAAACAGCAUUAUCAGCCAGUAGCACUUUAGUCUGAAUGUGCAGAGCCUUGUCCUCCGUGGGGACAGUCAUAGGGGCUAAGGAGAGCAUGAGGUAAUUCAUGCCUCAGGUCCAGCCCAUAUCUGGCACUGCCAAGAGCUGCUCGUAAAGCCAAGCUCUGGCCUUGACCCUGCUGCCCCCAGCUUGUAGGGCAUCAACUGUUUUGCCAACUGUGUGCUCUCUACUUGGGCAUUUUCAUUAACCCCUCAGCCCCUCCAUCUUUUCAUCUGGGGGUCUUAGAUAGGGCUUCUUGGUACAGGUGCUAAGAUGAUGAAAUGCAGGAGGGUAUAUGGGGCCUGGUACAGUCCCUGGCACAGGGCAGCUGCCCCCUCUCAAACUUUUGGAAGUUUUCCAUGGGAGUGGGAUAGGGGAGGGUACAGGGGUACUUGGAGGUCUGGAGCAAUGUCUGGUAGGAAGGUUCCAGAGAGGCAGCUGUGGGUGCAGAAAGCCAAAGGGGGAACUUUGUGCCUACGACAGCGCUCAAAACUGGGGCUCAGAGGUGGGAUGCCAGGCCCAGCCCAUCCCUCAGAGAACCGAGUCCAGGGUUACCUGGGGCCCUUCUCUGUGCAUCCUCGGGGGCAGUCAAUGCCCCCAGAGCAAAAGAGGCAAGAGAGGUGGAAGGACACAGUCACUGCAAGCUCACGGCCUGGGCUCUGGCCCAAGACAUUACAAAAGCCAAGCAUUCCUCACUCACACUGGAUUUGGGUUCAAAGCCAGCUCCAUCAGUACCAGCUGUGUGACCUUGGGCAGGUCGCUUCACCUCUCUGUACCUUAGUUUCUGCAUCUAUAAAAGGAGGAUCACGUGGAGACCUCUUCAUGGCGCCGUGUGAGGAUUCAGGUGUAGUCACUCCCUGAGCCC